rnacentral:rRNA from 1 species
GAUGAACGCUGGCGGCGUGCCUAAUACAUGCAAGUCGAGCGAACAGACGAGGAGCUUGCUCCUCUGACGUUAGCGGCGGACGGGUGAGUAACACGUGUAUAACCUACCUAUAAGUCUGGGAUAACUUCGGGAAACCGGAGAUAAUACCGGAUAAUAUAUUGAUGCGCAUGGGUCAAUAGUGAAAGACGGUUGUGCUGUCACUUAUAGAGGGAUCCGCGCCGGAUUAGGUAGUUGUGAAGUUAACGGGUUACCAAGGGAACGAUGCGUAGGCGACCUGAGAGGGUGAUCGGCCACCUUGGAACUGAGACACCGUCCAGACUCCUACGGGAGGCAGCAGUAGCGAAUCUUCCGCAAUGGGCGAAAGCCUGACGCAGCAACGCCGCGUGAGUGAUGAAGGUCUUCGGAUCGUAAAGCUCUGUUAUUAGGGAAGAACCAAUGUGUAAGUAACUAUGCACGUCUUGACGGUACCUAAUCAGAAAGCCACGGCUAACUACGUG